rnacentral:rRNA from 1 species
AAUAUUGCGCAAUGGAGGAAACUCUGACGCAGCGACGCCGCGUGAGCGAUGAAGGUCUUCGGAUCGUAAAGCUCUGUCCUUGGGGAAGAAGAUCGAAAGAUUUGACGGUACCCGAGGAGGAAGCCCCGGCUAACUACGUGCCAGCAGCCGCGGUAAUACGUAGGGGGCAAGCGUUGUCCGGAAUUAUUGGGCGUAAAGGGUGCGUAGGCGGCCUUUUAAGUCAGAUGUGAAAGGCUACGGCUUAACCGUAGUUAGCAUUUGAAACUAAAAGGCUUGAGUGCAGGAGAGGAGAGUGGAAUUCCACGUGUAGCAGUGAAAUGCGUAGAUAUGUGGAGGAAUACCGAUGGCGAAGGCAGCCCCCUGGGAUAAUACUGACGCUCAGACACGAAAGCGUGGGGAGCAAACA